UACGUAGGUGGCGAGCGUUGUCCGGAUUUACUGGGCGUAAAGGGCGUGCAGGCGGUUUGUUAAGUGCAGGGUGAAAGCUCCCGGCUCAACUGGGAGAGGUCCUUGCAUACUGGCGAACUCGAGGGAGGCAGAGGAAAGUGGAAUUCCCGGUGUAGUGGUGAUAUGCGUAGAUAUCGGGAGGAACACCCGGGGCGAAGGCGGCUUUCUGGGCCUUGCCUGACGGUGAGACGCGAAAGCGUGGGGAGCGAACCGG
rnacentral:rRNA from 1 species